rnacentral:rRNA from 1 species
AAUUGGCUUUUAAUUGAAGCCAUGUAUGAAUGGAAUCACGGGGUUUAGCUGUCUCUUAAUUAAUUUAUCGAAGUUACUAUUUAGGUGAAAAAGCCUAAAAGAAGAAAAAGGACGAGAAGACCCUUAGAGUUUUUCUAAAUCUAGGAUUGUUCCUAAGACAGUUUAGUUGGGGCAACAUAGGAGCAUAUUAAACCUCCUGUAAUAUACUUACCGAUAAUAAUAAAUAUGAAUAAACUACCUUAGGGAUAACAGCAUAAUUUUAUAAAUAAGUUUGUGACUCGAUGUUGGACUAGGAAACUGAAAGGCUA